GGCCUUGUAGUGAAAUUCAUAGUGAGUUGCAAACUCAUUGAUGUGCAUUAGUCUGCACCGAGGUCU
rnacentral:tRNA from 1 species